rnacentral:rRNA from 1 species
UACGGAGGAUGCGAGCGUUAUCCGGAUUUAUUGGGUUUAAAGGGUGCGUAGGCGGACGCUUAAGUCAGCGGUAAAAUUGCGGGGCUCAACCUCGUCGAGCCGCUGAAACUGGGUGCCUUGAGUGGGCGAGAAGUACGCGGAAUGCGUGGUGUAGCGGUGAAAUGCAUAGAUAUCACGCAGAACUCCGAUUGCGAAGGCAGCGUACCGGCGCCCAACUGACGCUGAAGCACGAAGGCGUGGGUAUCGAACAGG